rnacentral:rRNA from 1 species
CCUACGGGACGCAGCAGUGGGGAAUAUUGGGCAAUGGGCGCAAGCCUGACCCAGCAACGCCGCGUGAAGGAAGAAGGCUUUCGGGUUGUAAACUUCUUUUAAGGGGGACGAACAAAUGACGGUACCCCUUGAAUAAGCCACGGCUAACUACGUGCCAGCAGCCGCGGUAAUACGUAGGGGGCAAGCGUUAUCCGGAUUUACUGGGUGUAAAGGGAGCGUAGACGGAAAGGCAAGUCAGAAGUGAAAACCCAAGGCUCAACCAUGGGACUGCUUUUGAAACUGUCAAACUAGAGUACGGGAGAGGG